UACGGAGGGUGCGAGCGUUGUCCGGAAUCACUGGGCGUAAAGGGCGCGUAGGUGGCGCGAUGAGUCAACGGUGAAAGCUCGACGCUCAACGUCGAGUCGGCCGUCGAUACUGUCGCGCUCGAGCACUGUAGGGGCAGAUGGAAUUCCGGGUGUAGCGGUGGAAUGCGUAGAGAUCCGGAAGAACACCGGUGGCGAAGGCGGUCUGCUGGGCAGUUGCUGACACUGAUGCGCGACAGCGUGGGGAGCAAACAGG
rnacentral:rRNA from 1 species